AUGCCCCUACACUUCACCAAGCACUUCGUCAUGGUGCCGACGGAGUUCAAGCUCAGGAACAACACCGGCUGCUCUUGGAAGGUGACGGUCAAGCUGAUGAACGGCAUGGUGACCCUGGAUCAGGGUUGGGCCACCUACGCAGCUGUUCAUCAGAUCAAGAUCGGCUACAUGGUGACGUUCAAGCUCCUCACUCCCGACACCCUCAAGGUCAUCGUCUUCGACGAGGAUGGCAUUGAGGUCAUCAACAAGUGCGGGAAGCACGACGAAGCCUUCGCCGCAAGGAGUAGGGCCGGGCCACCUCUUUCCAGCGUACUAUUGAGUCUUCUUUGA
rnacentral:rRNA from 1 species